rnacentral:rRNA from 1 species
UCCUCUUUAUUUUAUCUGAGGUAUGACCUGCCCGCUGCUGAUAGUCAGUUAAAGGCCGCAGUAUUCUGACUGUGCUAAGGUAGCAUAAUAAUUUGUCUUGUAAAUCAAGUCUGGAAUGAAUGGUUUGACAAGGGUUUAUCUGUCUCGUUUAGAAUUUUAGAAAUUUAACUGUUUGUAAAAAUGCAAACAUUUUAAAGAGGGACGAAAAGACCCUAUAGAUCUUUAAUCAGAAGUGAUUUUUUUUGGGAUGAAACUACAAAUAGAAACUUGAGUUAAUCAAAAGAUAGAAAUAUCAACAAUUGAUCCGAUGGGUCGAUAAUAUGAAAAAGAUACCUUAGGGAUAACAGGACAAUAGUCUUCUAAGAGACCGUUUCAAGGAAGACGGUUGUUACCUCGAUGUUGAAUUAAGGAAUCCUUCUUUUGCAAAAGAAAGAGAGAGUUGGUCUGUUCGACCAUUAAAGCC